ensembl:lncRNA
UAUGUAUUUAAGAGACAUCGCUUGUUGGAGUUUGAUGCAUCCUCACUGAGUGGAUCUGUCUCUCUAUCCAUUCAUCUCAUAAAAUGUAAUUUUACCAUAAAAUGCAUCAAUGUCUAUUUUAUUUCUCAGCCCUUUAAUUGAAGAAGACCAAACACGCACGUACGUGCGCGCGUCACCUUGGUUUUGUGGUGAGUUUCCAGCGCUCUGCUCUGACUGGACCCCCCGGGAUGCACACUGACAGUUAGGAUGGCUGUGCAGUAUGUGCAGGGCAUUUGGAGUGUGUGUGUGUGUGUGUGUGUGUGUGUGUGUGUGUGUGUGUGUGUGUGUGUGUGUGAGGGAAUUAUGUCUUCACCAAACCGGAGCUGCACGUCGCCUCUCUUCCGUCUCAGUGCUGCACAGGAGGGAAUAAUGUGUUACGUCUCAUCAGCGGGAAGCCGUGACAUCUUCAGUGUGCUUCUAGCUUCACCGACCCAGUGUGUGUGUGCGUGUGUGUGUAUGUGCGUGUGUGUGUGCGUGUGCGUGUGUGCGCUGAGUGAAGCAGAUGCUUCACGUUUUUAAGCAGCAUUCUCUGUAGUGACCAGCAGGGGGCGACUCCUUCACUCCCUCAGUCUUAGAAAAUGACAAAAAGAACGUUCUGCCUGGACGUUCCUCCAACCCGUAGUGUGUCUGUGACGCGCACGUCUCCUCCUCUCCUUGUUGUGACAUCAGCAGAAGAAGACACUUAAUUGUUAUCAAACACAUUCAUUUAACACACACACACACACACACACACACACACACACACACACACACGAAGGCUGUCUUCUGUCUUCUUGUGUCUUGUGACUGAUGGAUCCCUCUUUCUUCUCCACACGUCUCCCGCAGUUCGCCCGAUUAAUAAUAACUACGAGCAGAACGAGUCGAUGGAACAGAAACACAACGAGCCUCGUCACCUGACGGGGUUUCCUCUCUUUGUCCACCUGGUCUGACUGACCCCCACUGGACGCUUUAGGGCUCCUGAGCCGUGCGGCGUGACCCUUCCAUCGCUGCACGAGCGGAUUGUGUCUGUGAUUGAUUGAUGGAUUGAUUGAUUGAUUGAUUGAUUGAUUGAGUCUAAAAGAAAAAAAUAAUUAAAAGUCGCUGCUUGUUGAGGUGUGACAAAUUGCUGCAGCUGUAAGACACACGGUAAUGUGUGUGUGUGUGUGUGUGUGUGUGCGCGACACAUCCUGUGCUACUGUCGCCGUGCUCGUUACCGGUUAAUUACCCAGAAUCCUGUGCGGGGUCGUAUUCCGAGAUCAACGAUCUGCCAAUCGGCCACUUUCCAAUCUGUUUAUUGGAGGAACGAAUGCUUCAGAUUCCCGACUCGAGCAACUUUGAGCGUCGACUCGCUCGAGCAAUCUGUCGAUUUCGUUUCCUGAAGUUCGGUCUGUUUCCAUCGUCAGUCCUCGUUUGACUGGAGCCUCACGCCAGCGGCUCCGGCUCGUCUCUCCAUCGUCCAGGUCGUGACUCUUAAAUAUCGGACGCGAUUGAAACGUCCGCCCGGUGCGUCUGCAGGCGUCGCGCCACCAGACGCCGGUUUGGGCCGAACAUCGGUACCGACCUGCUGGUGGAGGUCGGAUGUGUGCAGAUGUUUGUUUCUUCCGUUGCAGCUGUUUUUUUGGAACGUAGAAACACACUUUUGUGUCGCAUAGAACCUUUAAAGCUCUUUCUCUGCACUUCACCGACUCGAACGCGGCCUCGUGGGACAUUCUCACGCAGUCGAUUGUGACAUUUCGUUUGCAGGCGGUUGAUGAUUCGGUCGGGCCUCAGACUUUUAGCGGUUUUGACCGGAGCUGAUCCAGACGUGGAGAUCUACGCAGCGCCUUUCCGUCCUGAGACGGAACGCUCGCCAGUAAAGAAGGAAAUGAACC